UACGUAGGGGGCAAGGCGUUGUCCGGAUUUAUUGGGCGUAAAGAGCGUGUAGGCGGUCAGGUAGGUCCGUUGUGAAAACUCGAGGCUCAACCUCGAGACGCCGAUGGAAACCAUCUGACUAGAGUCCGGAAGAGGAGAGUGGAAUUCCUGGUGUAGCGGUGAAAUGCGCAGAUAUCAGGAGGAACACCGGUGGCGAAGGCGGGUCUCUGGGCAACAACUGACGCUGAGGAGCGAAAGCGUGGGGAGCGAACAGG
rnacentral:rRNA from 1 species